rnacentral:rRNA from 1 species
UACGGGGGGAGCAAGCGUUGUUCGGAUUUACUGGGCGUAAAGGGCGCGUAGGCGGCCAGCGCAAGUCAGUUGUGAAAUCUCCGAGCUUAACUCGGAACGGUCAACUGAUACUGUGCGGCUAGAGUGCGGAAGGGGCAACUGGAAUUCUUGGUGUAGCGGUGAAAUGCGUAGAUAUCAAGAGGAACACCUGCGGCGAAGGCGGGUUGCUGGGCCGACACUGACGCUGAGGCGCGAAAGCUAGGGGAGCAAACGGG